UAGUCGGUGUUUGCGUACUUCUGGCGCUACCGUACCCCUCGGAAUUUCAAAAUUGAGCUAGAAGUUUCUAGUUUUCGAGGUUCAGACUGAAAUUUUG
ensembl:ncRNA F59H5.5 ncRNA